GACGAACGCUGGCGGCGUGCUUAACACAUGCAAGUCGAACGGAAAGGCCCUGCUUUUGUGGGGUUCUCGAGUGGCGAACGGGUGAGUAACACGUGAGUAACCUGCCCUUGACUUUGUGAUAACUUCAGGAAACUGGGGCUAUUACCGGAUAGGAUCUCCUGCUGCAUGGUGGGGGUUGGAAAGUUUCGGCUGUUGGGGAUGUACUCGCGGCGUAUCAGCUUGUUGGUGGGGUAGUGGCUUACCAAGGCUUUGACGGGUAGCCGACCUGAGAGGGUGACCGGCCACACAGGAAGUGAGAAACGGUCAAGAGUAAUAAGGGAGGCAGCAGUAGGGAAGCUGACGAAAAGGGCGAAAGACUGACGGAGCAACGCCGCGUGAGUGAUGAAGGGCUGCGGAUCGGAAAACUCUGUGAUUAGGGAAGAACAAAUGUGGAAGUAACUAUGCAAGUCUUGACGGUACCUAAUCAGAAAGACACGGCUAACUAAGUG
rnacentral:rRNA from 1 species